UGACUGAUUUUCACAUGGAUUCCAACGGUGAAAAUGAGACAGAAGCAGAGACCAUGGCUCUUCGUCGGGCAAGAUCUUCUAUUGUAGAAUCAUCUGAUUCUGAGCCCGAGGGGAGGCCCCAAGCUAGACCAGCUACAGCAACAGAUCCUCCUCCCAAAGCACAAUGCCUUUCUCAGGCCACUAGUGAGGGCUUAGGCAUGUCUCCAAUCCCUUGGCCUCAAAAGGUUGUAGCUGCUUAAUCCUUUCCUCCUGUCCAUGUUGAAGUUAACCCUGCUGCCCAUGCUGCUCCUGCUUUUGAUGGCGUUGGCAUGAUGCCUCCUUUGGCUUCUCUUCCAACCACGACUUAUUUGCCUGAACUAGUUAGAGAGUUCAAGCAAAUUAUGACGAAGUUAAGAUCCACAAGGCGCCCUUCUAAGCCUCAACAUCUUCAAGAUCAGCGCAGGAUCUUCAAAGAAUGGAUGCAGAGGGACUUUAGUGCCUUCUUUAGCCUUAAGGCUCUUCAAGCUGCUGAGAUAGCUCUCACUAAAUUAUACCAAGCCCAACAGAUGACUAAGGUGCAAUAUGAGUCCUUCGUUUCCUUCUUUGAAAAUCUAAGGGCUUUGAGGGAUCAACAUCUUAAGGCCGAGAGGCAAGCUAACAGGGUGAGGUGCUAUAAGGAGAAGCACACUCGGACCUCCACUACUCUGUAGCAGCUGGUGGAUGAAGGCUCGUUCAUGGAGGAUCAGAUAAUAGUGGUAGCUGUCGAGAUCCAGAAACUGGAGGAACAACUUUCUACUAUGAAGGCUGAGCAGAUGACUCUCUCGAGCAAGCUAUACAAGAAGCUCGAGAAAGUGAAGAAAGUAAACCAUGAAGUGGAGGAAUCUGAAGCCCAGCUAGCCAACAACAAUAUGGCUUUAGAAGAGCCUGGUUGCAUUUUUACCAUUAUGCAGACUUAUCAUUCUAUGAUAGCUGCCUUGGCUAAAGAUGUAAACUUGUUAAUUUAGGGCUCAUGUACUAAUGAGUCAAUAUGUUAACAUAUAUUUUAAUCUAAUCUUAGUAUUAACUAGGGAUUUAGCCCGCGCGUUGCCGCGGAAUGUCAAACGAAAUAAAAGUAUUGUAUAUAAGUCUUCAAAUA